rnacentral:RNase_P_RNA from 1 species
CGGACACCGCUAGUGGCUUACGGGGGCUAAGCCCCUGAGGAAACACCGUCCUCCUGGCAGCAGUGGGGCCCUAAAUGGGGCGGGGAGAGAGACCCCGGCAACGGAACAGAAACGGUACGGCCCUGGAGAGAUGUGAAUGAUGCUUCUAAGCGCGACGGCAACGUUGCGGGUGGCUGACGACCUCCAGGUGACCGAUGAAACGGCCGUCCCCCAUGGAGCAAGGAGCCUCGCUUGUGAACAGCUGCCUGAGGCGGGGCUGAUCCGCUUAGCCGAAUGCCACUGAAACUACAGAAGACGGGUUAUAGCGGUGUCCG